GGUUAAGCGACUAAGCGUACACGGUGGAUGCCCUGGCAGUCAGAGGCGAUGAAGGACGUGCUAAUCUGCGAAAAGCGACGGCGAGGUGAUAUGAACCUUUGACCCGUCGAUGUCCGAAUGGGGAAACCCAGUGUGUUCCGACACACUAUCGUUAACUGAAUACAUAGGUUAACGAGGCGAACCGGGGGAACUGAAACAUCUAAGUACCCCGAGGAAAAGAAAUCAACCGAGAUUCCCCCAGUAGCGGCGAGCGAACGGGGAGCAGCCCGGAGUCUGAAUCAGCUUGUGUGUUAGUGGAACGGUCUGGAAAGUCCGACGGUACAGGGUGAUAGUCCCGUACACGAAAAUGCACAGGUUGUGAACUCGAAGAGUAGGGCGGGACACGUGGUAUCCUGUCUGAAUAUGGGGGGACCAUCCUCCAAGGCUAAAUACUCCUGACUGACCGAUAGUGAACCAGUACCGUGAGGGAAAGGCGAAAAGAACCCCGGCGAGGGGAGUGAAAAAGAACCUGAAACCGUGUACGUACAAGCAGUGGGAGCACCUUCGGGUGUGACUGCGUACCUUUUGUAUAAUGGGUCAGCGACUUAUAUUCUGUAGCAAGGUUAACCGUAUAGGGGAGCCGAAGGGAAACCGAGUCUUAACUGGGCGUUAAGUUGCAGGGUAUAGACCCGAAACCCGGUGAUCUAGCCAUGGGCAGGUUGAAGGUUGGGUAACACUAACUGGAGGACCGAACCGACUAAUGUUGAAAAAUUAGCGGAUGACCUGUGGCUGGGGGUGAAAGGCCAAUCAAACCGGGAGAUAGCUGGUUCUCCCCGAAAGCUAUUUAGGUAGCGCCUCGUGAACUCAUCUUCGGGGGUAGAGCACUGUUUCGGCUAGGGGGCCAUCCCGGCUUACCAACCCGAUGCAAACUACGAAUACCGAAGAAUGUUAUCACGGGAGACACACGGCGGGUGCUAACGUCCGUCGUGAAGAGGGAAACAACCCAGACCGCCAGCUAAGGUCCCAAAGUCAUGGUUAAGUGGGAAACGAUGUGGGAAGGCACAGACAGCCAGGAUGUUGGCUUAGAAGCAGCCAUCAUUUAAAGAAAGCGUAAUAGCUCACUGGUCGAGUCGGCCUGCGCGGAAGAUGUAACGGGGCUAAACCAUGCACCGAAGCUGCGGCAGCGACACUAUGUGUUGUUGGGUAGGGGAGCGUUCUGUAAGCCGUUGAAGGUGUGCUGUGAGGCAUGCUGGAGGUAUCAGAAGUGCGAAUGCUGACAUAAGUAACGAUAAAGCGGGUGAAAAGCCCGCUCGCCGGAAGACCAAGGGUUCCUGUCCAACGUUAAUCGGGGCAGGGUGAGUCGACCCCUAAGGCGAGGCCGAAAGGCGUAGUCGAUGGGAAACAGGUUAAUAUUCCUGUACUUGGUGUUACUGCGAAGGGGGGACGGAGAAGGCUAUGUCAGCCGGGCGACGGUUGUCCCGGUUUAAGCAUGUAGGCGGAGGUUCCAGGUAAAUCCGGUACCUUUUAACGCUGAGGUGUGAUGACGAGGCACUACGGUGCUGAAGUGAUAAAUGCCCUGCUUCCAGGAAAAGCCUCUAAGCAUCAGGUAACACGAAAUCGUACCCCAAACCGACACAGGUGGUCAGGUAGAGAAUACCAAGGCGCUUGAGAGAACUCGGGUGAAGGAACUAGGCAAAAUGGUGCCGUAACUUCGGGAGAAGGCACGCUGAUAGGUAGGUGAAGCCCCUGCGGGCGGAGCUGAAAUCAGUCGAAGAUACCAGCUGGCUGCAACUGUUUAUUAAAAACACAGCACUGUGCAAACACGAAAGUGGACGUAUACGGUGUGACGCCUGCCCGGUGCCGGAAGGUUAAUUGAUGGGGUUAGCGGCAACGCGAAGCUCUUGAUCGAAGCCCCGGUAAACGGCGGCCGUAACUAUAACGGUCCUAAGGUAGCGAAAUUCCUUGUCGGGUAAGUUCCGACCUGCACGAAUGGCGUAAUGAUGGCCAGGCUGUCUCCACCCGAGACUCAGUGAAAUUGAACUCGCUGUGAAGAUGCAGUGUACCCGCGGCAAGACGGAAAGACCCCGUGAACCUUUACUAUAGCUUGACACUGAACACUGGUCCUUGAUGUGUAGGAUAGGUGGGAGGCUUUGAAGCGUGGACGCCAGUCUGCGUGGAGCCAUCCUUGAAAUACCACCCUUUAAUGGCUGGUGUUCUAACGUAGACCCGUGAUCCGGGUUGCGGACAGUGUCUGGUGGGUAGUUUGACUGGGGCGGUCUCCUCCCAAAGAGUAACGGAGGAGCACGAAGGUUGGCUAAUCCUGGUCGGACAUCAGGAGGUUAGUGCAAUGGCAUAAGCCAGCUUGACUGCGAGCGUGACGGCGCGAGCAGGUGCGAAAGCAGGUCAUAGUGAUCCGGUGGUUCUGAAUGGAAGGGCCAUCGCUCAACGGAUAAAAGGUACUCCGGGGAUAACAGGCUGAUACCGCCCAAGAGUUCAUAUCGACGGCGGUGUUUGGCACCUCGAUGUCGGCUCAUCACAUCCUGGGGCUGAAGUAGGUCCCAAGGGUAUGGCUGUUCGCCAUUUAAAGUGGUACGCGAGCUGGGUUUAGAACGUCGUGAGACAGUUCGGUCCCUAUCUGCCGUGGGCGCUGGAGAAUUGAGGGGGGCUGCUCCUAGUACGAGAGGACCGGAGUGGACGCAUCACUGGUGUUCGGGUUGUCAUGCCAAUGGCACUGCCCGGUAGCUAAAUGCGGAAGAGAUAAGUGCUGAAAGCAUCUAAGCACGAAACUUGCCCCGAGAUGAGUUCUCCCUGAGACUUUAAGUCUCCUGAAGGAACGUUGAAGACGACGACGUUGAUAGGUCGGGUGUGUAAGCGCAGCGAUGCGUUGAGCUAACCGAUACUAAUGAACCGUGAGGCUUAACCUU
rnacentral:rRNA from 1 species